CCCUUAGACACUCUAGGCGGCACGCGCGCUACAAUGGGUGGAAGACUGUGUUACUGCCUUCGAGAGAGGGGGUGAAUCACGAAUCCUUACCCGUGAAUGGGAUAGUUUGUUGCAAUUUUCAGACUUGAACUAGGAAUCCCUUGUAAGCAUGCUCGAGAAUAGUGUGCUGAAUACGUCCCUGCCGUUUGUACACACCGCCCGUCGUUUCUUCCGACUGAUACGGAUUGUGAGUUGCAGGGACCUCUAGGGGGAAUUGCCGCGAAUGCUUCGUAUUGGAGGAAGAGAAAGUCGUAACAA
rnacentral:rRNA from 1 species